rnacentral:rRNA from 1 species
GACGAACGCUGGCGGCGUGCUUAACACAUGCAAGUCGAACGGAAAGGCCUGCUUUCCCUUGUGGAUUGCGGGUACUCGAGUGGCGAACGGGUGAGUAACACGUGAGUGAUCUGCCCCCAACUUGGGUAUAAGCCUGGGAAACUGGGUCUAAUUCCCGAUAGGACUGCAGGGUGGUGCCUGUGGUGGAAAACGAUUUUCUAGUGGUUGGGGAUGAGCUCGCGGCCUAUCAGCUUGUUGGUGGGGUAAUGGCCUACCAAGGCGGCGACGGGUAGCCGGCCUGAGAGGGUGGACGGCCACAUUGGGACUGAGAUACGGCCCAGACUCCUACGGGAGGCAGCAGUGGGGAAUAUUGCACAAUGGGCGGAAGCCUGAUGCAGCGACACCGCGUGGGGGAUGACGGCCUUCGGGUUGUAAACUCCUUUCGACCGCGAGGAAGCCACCUGGUUGGAAGGGUGGUGACGGUAGUGGUAGAAGAAGCACCGGCUAACUACGUG